UUUUAUGGAGAGUUUGAUCCUGGCUCAGGACGAACGCUGGCGGCGUGCCUAAUACAUGCAAGUCGAGCGAAUGAUGAGAAGCUUGCUUCUCUGAUUUAGCGGCGGACGGGUGAGUAACACGUGGGCAACCUGCCCUGUAGACUGGGAUAACUUCGGGAAACCGGAGCUAAUACCGGAUAAUUCUUUUAGCCUCAUGGCUUUAAGCUAAAAGGCGCUUCGGCGUCACUACAGGAUGGGCCCGCGGUGCAUUAGCUAGUUGGUGGGGUAACGGCCUACCAAGGCAACGAUGCAUAGCCGACCUGAGAGGGUGAUCGGCCACAUUGGGACUGAGACACGGCCCAAACUCCUACGGGAGGCAGCAGUAGGGAAUCUUCCACAAUGGACGAAAGUCUGAUGGAGCAACGCCGCGUGAGUGAUGAAGGUUUUCGGAUCGUAAAACUCUGUUGUAAGGGAAGAACAAGUGCGUUAGGUA
rnacentral:rRNA from 1 species